CCAACGCAGAGCAGCACAGAGCUGACGUUCAGUCUAACAUCUUUUGUACACAACUCUAGACGAAAGGAAGCUGAGGCCUGUGAUCAGAUGGGAAACACCGAUUUUGAAUUUGUAAGGCAAAAACAUGGCCACAUCAGGAGACAAUGUGGAAACUUUCCUGGAGGAGUUCAGGGAGGAGAUCAUUGCUGGAGUGAGUUCACCUGGAGUGAUUGUACAGGCCUGGCUCUCACAACAGCUGUGCACACAAAUGGAAACAACUGCCAUCACCGAAGCUUCGACACCACAGCAGCAAAUGAGGGAGCUGUUUAAUGUGGUGGAGAAGGGGACGUCACAAACCAAAGAUAGCUUCUAUCGGAUACUUUCACAAGAGGAACCUGAGCUUCUGGCUG